rnacentral:tRNA from 3 species
GGUUUGAUGGCCGAGCGGUCUAAGGCGUUCGACUUAAGAUCGAGUCUCUAUUUGAGGCGCGGGUUCGAAUCCCGCUCAAACCA